AAGAUUAAGCCAUGCAUGUCUAAGUAUAAGCAAUUUAUACAGUGAAACUGCGAAUGGCUCAUUAAAUCAGUUAUCGUUUAUUUGAUAUUUCUUACUACAUGGAUAACCGUGGUAAUUCUAGAGCUAAUACAUGCACGAAAGCCCCGACCUCUGGAAGGGGUGUAUUUAUUAGAUAAAAACCAAUGCCAAUUUAUUGGCUCAGUGGUGAUUCAUAAUAACUUUGCGGAGCGUAU
rnacentral:rRNA from 1 species